rnacentral:tRNA from 1 species
GGGGAUUUAGCUCAGCGGCAUAAAGUGCCUGCCUUGCAAGCAGGCAGUCAUGAGUUCAAUCCCUG